UCGCUAGGCCAAUUAAACCAAACGUGCUCUUUUCCCCAUGGGGGCCUAGUGUGCAACAGCAGCAUCCUUGGUAGUGUAUGCAGCCUGUUGCUUGUAUGAGUUGCCCUAAGGGACCUUGGAGACAGCC
ensembl:snoRNA SNORA70 Small nucleolar RNA SNORA70